AAGGCCUUUACUGACGCUAAAGCUCGAAGGUGCGGGUAUCGAACAGGAUUAGAUACCCUGGUAGUCCGCACGGUAAACGAUGGAUGCCCGCUGUUCGCGAUAUACUGUGAGCGGCCAAGAGAAAUCGUUAAGCAUCCCACCUGGGGAGUACGCCGGCAACGGUGAAACUCACAGGAAUUGACGGGGGCCCGCACAAGCGGAGGAACAUGUGGUUUAAUUCGAUGAUACGCGAGGAACCUUACCCGGGCUUGAACUGCAGAGGAAUGCGGUGGAGACACCAAAGCCCUUCGGGGCCUCUGUGGAGGUGCUGCAUGGUUGUCGUCAGCUCGUGCCGUGAGGUGUCGGCUUAAGUGCCAUAACGAGCGCAACCCUUUCCGUUAGUUGCCAUCAGGUAGAGCUGGGCACUCUGGCGGUACUGCCACCGUAAGGUGUGAGGAAGGUGGGGAUGACGUCAAAUCAGCACGGCCCUUACGUCCGGGGCUACACACGUGUUACAAUGGGGAGUACAGAGAGUCGGGUGCCGGCAACGUCACCCCAAUCAUUAAAGCUCUCCUCAGUUCGGAUUGGGGUCUGCAACCCGACCCCAUGAAGCUGGAUUCG
rnacentral:rRNA from 1 species